GCCGGGGUGGCGGAAUUGGUAGACGCAGUGGACUCAAAAUCCACCGGUGCUCGGUACUGUGCGGGUUCGAGUCCCGCCCCCGGCACCA
rnacentral:tRNA from 1 species